rnacentral:rRNA from 1 species
GAUGAACGCUGGCGGCGUGCCUAAUACAUGCAAGUCGAGCGAACAGACGAUUAGCUUUCUCCUCUUACGUUAGCGGCUGACGUGUGAGUAACAUGUGUAUAACCUACCUUUUAUACUUGUAUAACUUCGUGAAACCUUAUCUAAUACCGGAUAAUAUUUUUAACCGCAUGGUUCAUUAGUGAAAUACGUUUUUUCUGUCUCUUAUAGAUGUUUCCGCGCCGCAUUAGCUAGUUGGUAAGGUAACGGCUUACCAAGGCAACGAUGCUUAGCCGACCUGAGAGGGGGAUCGGAAACACUGGAACGGAGACACGGAACAGACAACGACGGGAGGCAGCAGUAGGGAAUAUUCCGCAAUGGGGGAAAGCAUGACGGAGCAACGCCGAGUGAGUGAUGAAGGUCUUCGGAUCGUAAAACACUGUUAUUAGGGAAGAACAAAGGUGUAAGUAACUAUGCACGUAUUGACGGUACCUAAUCAGAAAGCAACGGCUAACUACGUG